rnacentral:rRNA from 1 species
CGGGCUACGAAUCGGGCGCAUGAUGGAUGCCUUGGCGCCAGGGGGCGAUGAAGGACGCGGCAGGCUGCGAUAAGCCCCGGGGAGCGGCGAGCGCGCUUUGAUCCGGGGGUGUCCGAAUGGGGUAACCCGGGCCGAGUAAUGUCGGCCCACCGCGGGGCCGCUGAGGCCGCGCGGGGCGAGACCCGCCGAAGUGAAACAUCUCAGUAGGCGGAGGAACAGAAAGCGAAUUGCGAUUCCGCCGGUAGCGGCGAGCGAAAGCGGAAGAGCCCAAACCCCGGCGCUUGCGCCGGGGGGUUGAUAGGACCGCGCCGUGGGCGCGCGGCGGCUAGGCCCAAGCGGCUGGAACGCCGCGCCACAGAGGGUGAGAGCCCCGUGGCCGAAAGCCGUCCGGGCGCCCUAGCGGUAUCCUGAGUAGCGCGGCACACGUGGAACGCCGCGCGAAUCCGGGCGGACCACCGCCCAAGGCUAAAUACCUCCUGGCGACCGAUAGUGAACUAGUACCGCGAGGGAAAGGUGAAAAGCACCGCCGUGAGCGGAGUGAAAGAGCACCUGAAAUCAUGCGCCCCCAAGGUGUCGGAGCCCCGGCUUGCGCCGGGGUGACGGCGUGCCUUUUGCAUAAUGAGUCUGCGAGUUAGCCCCGGCGGCGAGCCUAAGGGCCGGAGGGCCCGGAGGCGCAGCGAAAGCGAGUCCGAAACCGGCGACCAACCAGUCGCCGGGGCUAGACCCGAAGCGGAGGUGAUCUACCCUUGGCCAGGAUGAAGCCCGGGUAAAGCCGGGUGGAGGUCCGAACCGGUGGACCUUGAGAAGUCCUCGGAUGAGCUGAGGGUAGGGGUGAAAGGCCAAUCAAACCCCGUGAUAGCUGGUUCUCCCCGAAAUGCAUUGAGGUGCAGCCCCGGUGCGCUGACGGGCGGAGGUAGAGAUACUGAAUGGACUAGGGCCCCUGGCGGGGUACUGAAUCCAGCCAAACUCCGAAUGCCGCCCGGCGAAGCCCGGGAGUGAGGCCGCGGGGGAUAAGCUCCGCGGCCGAGAGGAAAACAGCCCAGACCGCCGGCCAAGGCGCCCAGAUGCCGUGAAGUGGAAAGGAUGUGGCCCCGCGCUGACAGUGAGGAUGUUGGCUUAGAAGCAGCCACCAUUUAAACAGUGCGUAACAGCUGACUCAUCGAGGCGGGGCCGCGCCGAAAAUGAUUGGCGAUCCAACGGCAUGCCGCAGCCGCGGGCCGCCCCCCCCCGAGGGGGGCGGCGGCGGUAGGGGAGCGUCCCGGGCCCGGCGAAGCGCGGGCGGGGGCCCGCGGGGAGGGGCCGGGCGGGAGAAAGCAGACACGAGGAGCGAUAACGGCGGGGGAAGCCCCGCCCGCCGCAAACCCAAGGGCUCCUGGGGGAGGUGCCGCCGCCCCGGGUCAGUCGGGGCCUAAGCCCAAGCCGCACGGCGAUGGGCGAUGGAAGAAGCAGGCAAAACAUUCCUGCACCACCGAAACUUAACCGGCGGUGACGCGGGGCGCCGAGGGGGUCCGGGCGACGAUCGUUCCCGGUCCCGAGAGGGGACGCGGAGGCCACGGCCGAAGCGGAUCCCCCGAGGCCCCCGCCGAGAAAAGCCGCCGGGCACGCUAAGGUGCCCGUACCGCAAACCGACACAGGUGGGCGGGUAGAGCAUACCCAGGCGCGCGGGUGAAGUCCCCUGAAGGAACUCGGCAACCUGGCCCCGUAACUUCGGGAGAAGGGGCCCCCCCGGCGCGAGCCGGGGGGCGCAGUGAAAGGGGUCAACCGACUGUUUACCAAAAACACAGCGCUCUGCGAAGCCGCGAGGCGACGUAUAGGGUGUGACACGUGACCAAUGCGGAAAGAUUAAGGCGAGGGGUGAGAGCCCCGGACCCAAGUCCCCGCGAAUGUCGGCCGUAACUAUAACGGUCCUAAGGUAGCGAAAUUCCUUGUCGGGUAA